CAGAAGAGCACACUGCUCCCUGAGGCAAAGUCCUGUCUCAGGGAGAUUCGUGACAGAAGUGUGCUGACCUGUUCACAGCCUGGCUUCGCUGCGAGAGCCAAUGCGGUGCAAUCAAGUGAAUCUCCUGAGAUAUUUCAGCCAUGCUUCAGCCUGAUUUAGGCCUGCAACUGUCCUGAAGUGCUCCAGUAGAGGUACUAUCCAAAUUCACUUGUCCAAAGACAUUCAUCUCCUGAAAUUUGUACAACUUGCUUGAAAAUUGUCCCUGUGAAGAUUCAAGUUUAAUUAGACGCAUGCAGGAGACUCAAAUCCCUGGGGAAAAGAAAGUACCAGAGACAGUUAGUUUACAACUGCAUCAAUGGAAGGAAGAUGAGGGAGAGAUCAGCAAUAUUCGGAGGAUUUUGUUUAUCAAAACACUGGACACCUCCUACUAUUAAUUUACUGUGUAUUACUCGCAGACAUCUGGAAGCAAGUCAACUACAACCUACUCAGCUCAGAAAUGGUUUAUGUGGAUUUAUUUAAAGCUAUGAGGUGGGGGAAAGAAGAAUAAAAGAGAUGCAAUGAUGUAGAGGUUCAAACUUUGGAGGUACAGGUUGUUAAAGGUAUA